UCAGGUCACCGUGGUGAGGAAAAACAGAUCCGGAGCCCUAGGGUCGUGUGAUUUAAACUGCGCCGGGGACCGACAGGCCUUGGUAUUGGUCUUUGCAGUGAGUGCUCUAAGGACCGGCCCACGGAGCUGAUGCCAAGAAGUUCUUUGAGGUCAAGGAUUCCACCAAAGAGUUCUGCACUGUGCUUUAUUGAGACAAACACUGCGUUUUCAGUGAAACUGGAUUGGAUUCAAAUCCCAACUCUGCCCUUAAUGAACCUAUAGCCAGGGAAACUACCUACUUCAAACAAUGGCAGAUUUAAAAAUCUGCAAUGACAGAGACUGUCUUUGCUAUCGUGACACUGUACCCAGUACAGUGUCUGGAGGACAGGAGGGACUCCAGCAAUAUUGGAUAAUUAAAUGAAUAACUAAAUGAAGAUGAAACCAGUACAAAUUUACCCUAAUGAGAAAAUUAAAGAUCCAUGGAUGUCUAGGAGUCUACCAGUACCUCCUAACAAGAAUGGAAGUUGAGGUUCAUGAAGAGAAAUAACCUGUGCAAUGUCAUGCACUGCACUAGUGGUUUUGUUCACUGUUCCUUGGAGUUCUUAGACGAUUUCAAGACCCCCCCCCACACCUCUCUUUCUCUCAUUCCCCUAUAUUUAUUGAAUACUAUGUGCUCUCUCAAAGCUUUACAGAAAUUAUCUUACUCAAGCAUCUCAACAGCCUUAUUUUUACAGAUAUGCAAACUGAGUCUCACAGCAGAGAAUAAGUUGCUAGAGAUCAUGACUAGGAAGAGGCCAAUCUCAUCAUUCUGGGAUUGAAUUUAGGUCAGCACUAUCCAUUUGAUUUUUUUGCCAUGAUGAAAAAUUCUAUAUCUGUACUGUCUGGUACCAUAGCUAUCUGCCAUGUAUGGGUAUUGAGCACUUGCAAUUUGGC